AUUGAACGCUGGCGGCAGGCCUAACACAUGCAAGUCGAGCGGUAGAGAGAAGCUUGCUUCUCUUGAGAGCGGCGGACGGGUGAGUAAUGCCUAGGAAUCUGCCUGGUAGUGGGGGAUAACGUUCGGAAACGGACGCUAAUACCGCAUACGUCCUACGGGAGAAAGCAGGGGACCUUCGGGCCUUGCGCUAUCAGAUGAGCCUAGGUCGGAUUAGCUAGUUGGUGAGGUAAUGGCUCACCAAGGCGACGAUCCGUAACUGGUCUGAGAGGAUGAUCAGUCACACUGGAACUGAGACACGGUCCAGACUCCUACGGGAGGCAGCAGUGGGGAAUAUUGGACAAUGGGCGAAAGCCUGAUCCAGCCAUGCCGCGUGUGUGAAGAAGGUCUUCGGAUUGUAAAGCACUUUAAGUUGGGAGGAAGGGUUGUAGAUUAAUACUCUGCAAUUUUGACGUUACCGACAGAAUAAGCACCGGCUAACUCUGUGCCAGCCGCCGCGAAAA
rnacentral:rRNA from 1 species